UCUUUUCAAAAUUGCCACAAAGAAGUUGUUUCUCUCAAUUCUCAAGGUAAAUCCUUUUGUUAUAAUUUUGGAAUAUAGUUAUUCUCUUUCAUGUUUAAUUUUGUUUUCUCUGCAUUCUAACUGCAAGAUGAAUGUAUCUCUAUUAUUAUUUAUUUCCUAUUUUAAUAUUAAAGAUUUUGUCUUUUUGUUAUUCAACUUCUGCAAUAUUUCACAAAAUUUUUAACUGUUGCUUUUUAUUCUGUUUGGGUAUUGGACUUUUUAGUUUUCAUUAUCUCCAACAUUCUUUCCACAUAACUUUUGUGGUGGUUGAUUAGCUUUUCAUUUUAUUAGCGCUAAUUGGUAUUUGAAUCUUUUAUAUUACCCGUCAUGCUAUGUUUGAUUGUUCCUACAGUUUUUUACAAUCUAUUUGGUGAAGAUUUGAUUUAUUUGCGGGGGUUUUCUUUUCACUUUGUUCAGUUCUAAGAUGUCAGAGACAAGCCUAAGGCUUUGAAAACAGUCUCUAUUGUUCCAGGUAUUGAAAUAGUUAAAUUUUUCUUCGUUUUUCACCAAUCAAGAUUUCAUUCUUAAUUGAUACAAAACCACAAUGCUUCAGCUCCAAUUUACGUGCUUUUCUUUUUAGCCAUAUGAGUUUGUGAAAAAAUUAGUUAUAGCAUGAUUAUUAUCACUAAUAAUUUAUUAUACAAACUUUCCAGUUGUCCCCAUUUAGCUAUUCUUGAAUCAUUUUUCGUUAGUAUACCUCCAACCUAGUGGCGAAACUAGGAAUUUUUUCAGGGGUAUUCAAAUUUAAAAGAAGUGGAAAAAAUUCUUUAUAAAGGUUCAAUAUAUGUUAUAUACCUCUAAACAUAAUAUUUUACCUAAAUACACAUUGUAAUUUUUCGGCGAAAGGUGGUCAAUUGAUGACAUUAUGACUAUGUGGCUUCGCCACUGAUCCAACCUGUCAUAUAUCGUCUAUAUUUUGUAAACCUUGCUGUAUAGUCAAUCUAGAGCAUUGAUUGACUGAAUGGUAAUCCACUAAUAGUUUGUUAAUCAAUCAUUUGUAGAAUAUUCUGUGAAUUUGAGUCAGUAUCUGUUAAUGUUAUGUGAAAUUGAAGUCACAUUUAGUUUUCUAUCUCCAGGCAAUAACCCGUAGGAAAAAAAAAACUUGAGAAUGAAAACAAACUCGGAGAAGAAGUAUAUCACUGGCAAUUUAUUAUUCUAAUUCUCCCGGUGUCCCCAUUUAGCUAUCCUUGGAGCAUUUUUCAUAAGGUAUGCAUCUAAUCUGUCAUAUAUCGUCUAUAUUUUGUAAACCAUCCGAUACAGUCCAUUAGGAUCAUUGGUUGACUGAAUGGUAUAUUUUACUCCUUUCAUAGUUUGUUAAUCAAUCAUUUAUAGAAUGUUCUGUGAUUUAUACCAUAUGGGAGGUGGGAUAAGAUGGGAUAUUAUGGAUUAAGUCUGGGAUUAAAUUUAUACCGUGUUUGGUUGGAUAUUCCAGGAUAAAUUUAUACCGCCAAUCAAAUACGGUAUAAAUUUAAUCCCACAUCUUAUCCCACCUUAUCCCUCAUACCAAGCGACUCCCAAGUAAGCAAGUAUUUGAAAAACUCUUCUUUUUACUCUAAUUCACAGAAGCAGAAGACAACACUGAGAAAAGUGUAUAACUACAAGAAGUACUUUGAAG
rnacentral:lncRNA from 1 species